rnacentral:rRNA from 1 species
GACAGAGGAUGCAAGCGUUAUCCAGAAUUAUUGGGCGUAAAGCGUCUGUAGGUGGCUUUUUAAGUCCGCCGUCAAAUCCCAGGGCUCAACCCUGGACAGGCGGUGGAAACUACCAAGCUGGAGUACGGUAGGGGCAGAGGGAAUUCCCGGUGUAGCGGUGAAAUGCGCAGAUAUCGGGAGGAACACCGGUGGCGAAGGCGGUUCUCUGGGCCUGUACUGACGCUGAGGAGCGAAAGCGUGGGGAGCAAACAGG